GACCUUUCCGUGCCUGUGCGGUUUAUUGGGAUUAUAUAUCCAAAACAUCAUUCACUGUUAAAUCCAGGAAACAUCCUUGGAUUUGGAAAUUAUGGAAGGAGAAAUUAUUAUUGGAACUGUACUGAACCUUUAGCUCAAUUAAGUUCAAAACAGAUACAAAGCUAUGAGCAUGUAUAUGCAGAGGUAGAUCAACCUGGAAGCUACUACAAUAGUCCAGGUGAGACAUCAAGAGGACAACUGAGGAAAUAAAGUGGACAUGGAGAAGAGGGAGAAGAUUCAACUAUUUAUACAGUUUGAUGAGGCAGGAUACCAUGCUGUGGAGACCCAUUUGGCAAGAAACUAAAGGCAGCCACCAUCCAAAUGCUAGGAAAAAGCUACAGCUUUCUGUCUGAUGGCAAAGGAGACACUGAAUCCAGUCAACAAUAACAGGAGUUUGAUGGAAGAUCCAUUCCCCAGUGGAGCCUCAGAUAACACCUCAAGUCUGGCCAACAUUCUGACUGUAAACUUAUGAGAGACCCUGAAGCAGAGAAUUCAGCUAAUCCAUGCCUGGGUUUCUGACUCUCAAAAAUUCUGAGAUAAUAAAUGCAUGUUGUUUUA
rnacentral:lncRNA from 1 species